rnacentral:rRNA from 1 species
UAGCUAGUUGGUGAGGUAAAGGCUUACCAAGGCGACGAUCUGUAGCGGGUCUGAGAGGAUGAUCCGCCACACUGGAACUGAGACACGGUCCAGACUCCUACGGGAGGCAGCAGUGGGGAAUUUUGGACAAUGGGGGCAACCCUGAUCCAGCCAUGCCGCGUGAGUGAAGAAGGCCUUCGGGUUGUAAAGCUCUUUCGGCCGGGAAGAAAUCGCAUGGGCCAACACCCUGUGUGGAUGACGGUACCGGAAUAAGAAGCACCGGCUAACUACGUGCCAGCAGCCGCGGUAAUACGUAGGGUGCGAGCGUUAAUCGGAAUUACUGGGCGUAAAGCGUGCGCAGGCGGUUUUGUAAGACAGGCGUGAAAUCCCCGGGCUUAACCUGGGAACUGCGUUUGUGACUGCAAGGCUAGAGUACGGCAGAGGGGGGUGGAAUUCCACGUGUAGCAGUGAAAUGCGUAGAGAUGUGGAGGAACACCAAUGGCGAAGGCAGCCCCCUGGGUCGAUACUGACGCUCAUGCACGAAAGCGUGGGUAGCAAACAGGAUUAGAUACCCUGGUAGUCCACGCCCUAAACUAUGUCAACUAGGUGUUGGGUGGGUAAAACCAUUUAGUACCGUAGCUAACGCGUGAAGUUGACCGCCUGGGGAGUACGGCCGCAAGGUUAAAACUCAAAGGAAUUGACGGGGACCCGCACAAGCGGUGGAUGAUGUGGAUUAAUUCGAUGCAACGCGAAAAACCUUACCUACCCUUGACAUGCCAGGAACUUGCCAGAGAUGGCUUGGUGCCCGAAAGGGAGCCUGGACACAGGUGCUGCAUGGCUGUCGUCAGCUCGUGUCGUGAGAUGUUGGGUUAAGUCCCGCAGCGAGCGCAACCCUUGUCGUUAAUUGCCAUCAUUUAGUUGGGCACUUUAACGAGACUGCCGGUGACAAACCGGAGGAAGGUGGGGAUGACGUCAAGUCCUCAUGGCCCUUAUGGGUAGGGCUUCACACGUCAUACAAUGGUCGGUACAAAGGGUUGCCAAGCCGCGAGGCGGAGCCAAUCCCAGAAAGCCGAUCGUAGUCCGGAUUGCAGGCUGCAACUCGCCUGCAUGAAGUCGGAAUCGCUAGUAAUCGUGGAUCAGCAUGUCACGGUGAAUACGUUCCCGGGUCUUGUACACACCGCCCGUCACACCAUGGGAGCGGGUUCCGCCAGAAGUAGGUAGCCUAACCGCAAGGGGGGCGCUUACCACGGCGGGGUUCGUGACUGGGGUGAAGUCGGAACAAGGUAGCCGUAGGGGAACCUGCGGCUG